rnacentral:rRNA from 1 species
GAUGAACGCUGACAGAAUGCUUAACACAUGCAAGUCUACUUGAACUUCGGUUUGGGUGGCGGACGGGUGAGUAACGCGUAAAGAACUUACCUCACAGUUAGGGACAACAUUUGGAAACGAAUGCUAAUACCUGAUAUUAUGAUUUUAGGGCAUCCUAAGAUUAUGAAAGCUAUAUGCGCUGUGAGAGAGCUUUGCGUCCCAUUAGCUAGUUGGAGAGGUAACGGCUCACCAAGGCGAUGAUGGGUAGCCGGCCUGAGAGGGUGAACGGCCACAAGGGGACUGAGACACGGCCCUUACUCCUACGGGAGGCAGCAGUGGGGAAUAUUGGACAAUGGACCAAAAGUCUGAUCCAGCAAUUCUGUGUGCACGAUGACGUUUUUCGGAAUGUAAAGUGCUUUCAGUUGGGAAGAAGAAAAUGACGGUACCAACAGAAGAAGUGACGGCUAAAUACGUG